UUAGAGUUGUUCUAAAGAUUGUCCUAAAAAUACUGUACUGUAUAAAAACUUACUUAAAAAAUUGCAAAAUUUACAAUGAUAGCAAAAGGAUCCCAAAAGAAAAAGAAAAAAUGUACUAGUACAGAUUUGCAAAGGGGCAAAUCUCAAGUCGCCCCCAAACGGGAAAUUGGCGAGGUUUCCAUGGUCCGCCGCCGCCGCCGCCGCCGUCUCGCGUCCCCCAUCAUGCCGCUCCCGGCGCCUGCGCCGCCGCUGGACAACGACGACCUCCUCCGUGAGAUCCUACUCCUCCUUCCUCCGCAGCCAUCCUCCCUCCUCCGCGCCUCCGUGGUCUGCAAGCGCUGGCGCCGCCUCGUCUCCGAUCCGAGAUUCCUCCGCCGCUUCCGCGCGCACCACCGUAGGCCCCCACUCCUCGGCUGCUUCUCCUACGACCAAGAUAUCGGUUACGUCUUCACUCCCACGCUGGACCCGCCCGACCGCAUCCCCGCCGCGCGUUUCUCCCUGCCGCAGCGCUGCCGCGACGAGGGAGGGUUGGACUUCGUGGAAUGCCAUCACGGCCUCGCCCUUUUCCUCAAUAAGAAACAACCCGAGGCCGUCGUGUGGAACCCCAUCUCCGGUCACCAGCACCGAGUAGCUUUUCCACCAGAGUUCGGCGACGCUAGAGAGAGGGAGAUCCUAUGCGCGGCGGUGCUCUGCGCUGCCGGUGAUGACGACCCUGGCCAUGUGCACGGUGAUUGUGGCUUGAGCUCUUUUAAAUUGGCUUUGGUGCGAGGUGGCCAAGACCAUGCAAGUCUAUUUGUGUGCCUCUACAAAUCCAAGUCUGGCCUAUGGGGAAAUGUUAUCUCAACGACUAAAGACUGGUACACAUUGUUUUAUUGGAGAAAGUCCAGCGUCCUGAUUGGGAAUGCACUUUACUGGUGGUGUUGCCAGAUUGAAGGUUGCAUUCUUGAGUUUGAUUUUAAAAUGCAGAAGCUUGUUACAAUUGAGAAGCCAGUAGACGGCGGUUGUUCCAACUAUCAGAUCAUGCGGACAGAGGAAAGUAGUCUCGGACUCAUCAUUUUGACAGAACUGACCAUGCAGUUAUGGGAGCGGAAGGUCAGUUCUGAUGAUGUUGCUACAUGGGUCCUUCAGAAAACCAUUGAGUUGACAAAGCACCUUUGGCCAAGACAGUCCGUCCAGGUCUUCUGGACCAGGAUACAUGGGUACGAGGAGGAUCACAAUGUGAUAUUUCUGGGGACAUCUAGUGGUUCUUUCAUGAUUCAACUCGACUCAAUGCAGUUCAAUAACCGAUUCCAAUUCAAGUCCAUCUUCACCCAUUUUCCCUACACAAGCUUUUAUGCUGCUGACUGGGCUGCUGGUGGUAGAGAUGAUGGAACUGAAAUGUGAAGCAGUACAUCACCUAAUUGCCCUAUCAGAUAAGCUACCAUAAUGUGUUAAUUGAACCCGUGAUGUGCAUUUUGCUUCUGAUACAUGUUUAUUUAUUUAUUACCUUGUCGACAUUUUGAUAUAAUCCUGCAAACUGUGUAUCCUCUGAAUAUUAAGCUGUUCGCGACCUAUCUAGUAGAUUGGGAUCAAAUUUGUUUCAGUUGUAAACAAGCUGCGUAUUAUGUAGUAUUUUAUUGGAUGUGACCACUUGUGUUUCUUCUUGCCCGUUUUGUAUUCUUUUUUCUAGGACCAAAGUCCCAGAGAGAAUCCUAUAGAUCUCUCAUUCACAUAUGUUCCACAGAUGUCACCACCUACGGUACAUCAUAUUUUGAGGGCAACAGCUAUCUAGCUCCUAUCUCCUGGCCCUACUUCUUAGAGCAUCUCCAAUAGGUGCCCUAUAAUAAGGCCCUAAACUGUGGUUGGAGCAAAAUUUGCAACACCUAAAAGUGCUUUUUUACAACACCAAAAACCUCCCACUCUAAUAGGUGCCCUAAAACAGGUGUUGGCUGUUGCAAAAUACAUCAUGGUUGUCUUCUUGUGGGUGCCCUAUUUUAGGGCACCUGUUGGAGCAACAGAGUGAUAUAAACAACACUUGGUCAUAUUAGAAGAAUAUAUAAUUUUCAGUCUCUAUUUCAUUGUGGACAUUUAGACCAAUAAUCUUGUAUUUGCAUAUCCUCGACUUAGUCAUAUUAGCUAUGUACUUGAACAUUUUAUGUCCUCAUAUGCCAUGAUAGGAAACUGCAGCUCGAUAAUUCGGGGGCUUGAUGUUUGAUUCUGGUGGAGGGUGUUGCAUUUAAGACGAUAGGAUCACCGUGAUCUUAUUUUUCUUCUUCUGAUUCUUGUCAGUUAGGAAGUUUGUCAGAGACUGGAUGUUCUGUUUGUUACGUAGAUUAGAUUUCCCUUGUUGAUGUUUUCAUCAUGUAAGAAGUUUCAACCUACUACCUGUUUGCAUCACCUCCUGGUCCCUAUAUAAUCCUCUUCCCCAGUGAGCCAAGUCAUCCUGGCCGUCUAUCUGGAGGUAUUUACCAAGCUGUUGUCAUCUGAUGGAAACUGAAGACUAUGUAAACAGUAUGGUAUCAGACUAUCAGUACAAAUCUACAGACGCCUGUUCCCAUUUUGUGCCUCGUGUUACCUCUCUCUGUUUGUUGGUUCCCAUCUGAUAUUUUUGCUAAACUGAUUUACCUGGGAAGGUUCGAGCAUUGUCUCCAUAACUCCUCUGUAUAAAAAGGAAGCGAUGCCCCCAGCAUCUGCAUUGUUUGGUGCGCACAACCAAUAAACUCGGUAAUUGUGUUGCCAGAUUUUACGUUUGGGACUAACUGAGAAUUUACAGCUUAAUCUUCGUCUGGGUGAGUAAUGAAACUGAUAUUGUUGUUUCCUUCGUAGUUAAUCGGAGCUGCUUAGAAGCCUCUUGUGUGAACCGAUCCCACAUAUAUCAGAACCAAUCACAUGCUGAGAGAAGAUAUUUAUUUGACAGCAGAAUAAAUAGGGGAGAACAAGUAAUCCCGAUGACUGGUAGCAUCAAUUCUGUCAAGCGCUGUGCUUGAUUUGCUGUUGGUUGGCCAUACAAGCACUUACAUUUGGAGAUCAUCUUCAGUGUCAGAUUGUUGUCAUAUUCUGUCAAGCGCUGGCGCUGGCGCCAAUGCCAUUUAGAAGUCCUCCUGUGUGCUAGUCUGAACAAAUCAUGAUUUUACUGGCUUAAUAGUUAUUGGCUGCUGCAUGAAUAGUUCUGACCACUGUACCAGAAUACUGAAUCAGUUAUCAUGAGAGAAUGCUGAAUGAGUGCUGCUGCUGUUUCUCUUGGAUUAUGCUUGUAGCAGGGGGGCACUGCCUUUGUUUGGUCAUCUGGACACUCCAACAAUAUCAGGCACAUGUAUGUGGCUUCUUCAUCUUUACAGCCCAUGUAUAUGCCACUGAAACCAAAAUUGAGACUUCGCAGAUACUGUCUAAAUUCAGGUAUGUGAUUUCACUCACAGACUAAUGACUAAACCCGACAAUUCGUGUAGCAAUGUAUUAAUAUUUUCAGCAUAUACAUCAACACAAACAUAUACAUAGGAUUAGGAACAAUCGAAUCCAAAGAAGCAGAGACCUGUAAAACCUACUGCCCAAGCUAAAUUCAACUUCCAUCCAAAAAUAACACCCAACUAUCCGGGAUUAUUCGUGCAUCCUUCUCUUUGCUGGCUACGAAGGCCUGAAGAAGUGUCAAGAUCAUUGGGAAUAGGCCUUGCCGGGCAGAGCCACCGGCCUGAGCUCACCACCAUGGAGGAAACCGGCGAACCACUUGGCGGAGUGCUUCUGGUACCUCGUCCUCUCCUUGGAGCUGAAGUCCACACCGUAGAGGCCAUAGCCCAUGCGGUAGCCGAAGAGGUACUCGAACACGUCCAGGAAUGACCAUACGAAAUAGCCCUGCACAUUCGAGCCGUUCCUGAUCACCCAGCAACAGAGAGGAAAUUGGUGAGCAAACUGCAUCAGUUUCUUUCAGGUGUCCUCUACUGAGAUGAAUGGAUGGUGUUGGUACCUGCUGGAUUGGAGGGUCGCCUCGAUGUAAUCCUGCAGGUACUGCGACCUGAACUCGUCGUCGGGGGCGUUCCCACCAGAGGGAUCAGCAAUGCUGGCAGCUCCUGAUGGACAUGAUCAUUGACGAAAUGGUAUUUCAGGUUGAUGAGUGAUCAAAAGUUGAUGACCUUACAGAAUCAUGCAUUUUAAGGUAGCUGAAAGUUCGGUCAGUAGAAUUUACCAUUCUCGUGGAUCAUGACCACAGGGUUCUUGUAUUUGACCUGCAGAUGCUCCAGCAUUUUCCUCAUAGACCACGCUGUUGAUGACAUGAAACCCAUUUUCAACCCAAACAAGAGCUGUUGCAUUUAAUUUUAGCCACACACACACACAAAUGAUUUAGUUUAUUGGGAACAAAGUUCAUUUUCGAACUAAAUUGAUUAGUGACGGAAUGACUUGUAUCAUCAAAUACCUGGUUCUUUGAGUUCAAAAAUGGCACUGCAAGAAUACAUUUGCAGAAGAGUUAAGUUUCAUUUCUCUCAUUGCAUUGUGGCACAUAGUAUAACACAUGACAGGACUUCAGGUUAUUAAUAUUCUUACCGGUGUCAUAUUUCACGGCUGCAUCACCCAUGUAAUCUCUCAGCUUCUGAUCCAGCUUGCUAAGAUCAGCCUUCACAUAAGCGGCACCGUAAUGGUUAAAUCCGACAAAAUCAAAAGACCCACGCACUCUCUUUAGCUCUUCAGCGGUGAAAGAUGGUAGCCUGGACCCAACAUUCUUCCUCAUCACUGGUGGGUAGUCUCUAUGCACCAAUGGAUGCAUAUACCUGUGUCAUGAUUACAACAUCUUUAGCUCUAGUUACGCACACAUUCUAGCUGUCCUUGUUGAACUUGAAAUGUAGAAGAACGUACCAUCCAAUGUGGAAGUCAUUCAUCCUUGCAGCUGCUGCUAUAUCCUCAGGUGUUUGUGUUGCAGGCUCGAACCACCAGCAGAGCAAUGGACGCUGCUGAGGCAUGUGCAAGCAGAAGAUGGUGAGCUACUAUGUAGGGCUCAGUGGUAGAGUUGCCAUUGUUGCAACUGAUGCCGAAGGGGGAGGAGCAUCGCUGUGGUGGAAAGAAUCCUACAUCGUAUCCGCCAAUGGGCUCAAUGUUUGGCUCAUUCACAGUGCUCCAGUAUUUCACCCUGUCGCCAAAGUUCUUGAAGCACACAUCUGCAUACGUCGUGUAGUCAUCUCUGCAACCAUGUGACAAAAAAGGGGAAAGAAGAAUUUACAUGAAUUUACGACUAAGCAUCCCAUGGUAUUCAUCUUGAAGAGCCUGAGGGAAGUCAAAAUGAUAUAUCGUUACGUGAGGCUGAAUUCCUACAUGAAACAGAGGAAGACGCACGAUUUAUCUCUGCACAGCUGGACAUUUGGAAAUCUUGUCAUUUCUUUCGUAAAUGAAGGAUUCAGUAUGCCAAGGAUCAAAUACCAUGACUAAGGAGUUCAUUGAUAAGGUUGUUGUAGUACUCCAGUCCUUUUGGAUUGACAGCUCCUCGGCCAUCUUCAUGGAUUGCAAACAGAAGAAUAAGCCGAGGCCAGGCAAUGGAAAAUCUAUACGCGUCCACGCCCAUCUGGCUCAAAAGCUUUACAUCUUCCUGGUUGUUUAUCAGAUCACAUCAGCAGUGGCUCCAUCGGCAGAGUAGCCUGUGGAUGUUAAAACUCCAUGUUACAAUUCGCAAUGCGAUAAUGCGUGGUAGAUUCAGGCCCACAGGGUGUGGGGAAGCCGGUGAAUAAACCUGAGUGUGUGAAUGUAUCCCAGAUGCUGGGUUUUCUUCCGUCCUCUGCAACCGCGCCUUCAAUCUGGGAAAUCAGCGGAAUGUUCAGACCGCCAAAAACAGAAAGAAGUAGCCGAAAGAGAAAUUAGCCUGGUGACAUCGAAAUGAAGUCGACGAAAGAAACUGGUGAGGAAACGGCAUUUGGGUUGUUUUCUGAAGACUAUAUGGGACGAAAACGUCGUUGGCGGGAACAGAGUGUAAGUAUAGGCUGCCGGUGACUGGUUGCUUAACUUUUUAUUAUUAUUUUAUAAUAAAGGGAGCAUCCUCCCAAUUUCAUUUAA